CUGAAGUGCUGCUUUUACUGGAAAUGCUGAAUAAUCUGAUUUUUUCCUCAAGGCUGGAUGCAUGGGCUACAGAGAGAGAGAGAGACAGAGUGUGUGUGUGUGUGUGUGCGUGUUUGUGUUUGUGUGUGUUAAUGAGGCUGUUUUACUUUCAGCUGCCUGAUGGAUCUAAAUCGAGUGUGCUGCAGAGCCCAAGUGAAGCCACACCCUCACCACAGCAACUCGCUCCGGAAAAAGGAGGGUUUUUUGGUCGGUAUUUCCCUCUGGGUCAGAAGAAGCGUCUCACUCCUCAGGACGGAAACGUGACGAUGGCCAGGACCCUCGCCGAGAGAGAAGAGUGUAACAGCACUCAGCUUUACUCUGUCUAUCUGUCUGUCUAUCUGUCUAUUAUGUCUAUGGUGUUGUUAUUUAUUUUGUGUGUAUGUUGUGAUUGAUCUGUAGUUAAGAGGUCGGACAGUAACUCCCCCACGUCGGCGUCUCCGUCCUCACUGGCCAAGCGGAAACGUCAGAGUAUUAGGAUCAGCCGCGGGACACAAAUAAGGGAGCAGAGUAACGCCACACUCAACCGCCAGAUCACCGACACAACAGAACUGCGCCACCAUCGACGAGUUCCUGGGAAAUCAGGUGUGUGUGUGUGUGUGUGUGUGUGUGUGUGUGUGUUUGGGUGUGUACUGACUUAUUCUGCAAUCAGAUCCUGGACACUUGGUAAUGUUUGGCACGUGUUUUGUGCCUGUUUGCGUGUUUGGUGCGUUGUUUGUGGUUGGUGUGUGUUUGGUGUGUGUUUGUGUGUUUGGUGUGUUUGUGGUGUGUGUUUGGUGUGUGUUUGUGUGUUUGGUGUGUGUUUGGUGUGUGUUUGUGUGUUUGGUGCGUGUUUGUGUGUUUGGUGUGUGUUUGGUGUGUGUUUGUGUGUUUGGUGUGUGUUUGUGUGUUUGGUGCGUGUUUGUGUGUUUGUGUGUUUGUGUGUUUGGUGUGUGUUUGGUGCGUGUUUGUGUGUUUGGUGUGUGUUUGGUGCGUGUUUGGUGUGUGUUUGUGUGUUUGGUGUGUGUUUGGUGUGUGUUUGUGUGUUUGGUGUGUGUUUGGUGUGUGUUUGUGUGUUUGGUGCGUGUUUGGUGUGUGUUUGUGUGUUUGGUGUGUGUUUGUGUGUUUGGUGCGUGUUUGGUGUGUGUUUGUGUGUUUGGUGCGUGUUUGUGUGUUUGGUGUGUGUUUGUGUGUUUGGUGUGUGUUUGUGUGUUUGUGUGUUGUGUGUUUGGUGUGUGUUUGUGUGUUUGGUGUGUGUUUGGUGUGUGUUUGUGUGUUUGGUGUGUGUUGGUGUGU
ensembl:lncRNA